AGAGUACACAGCGCGCGUGAUUUGCACAGGGAGGGAGAAACUGUAGCGCCUCGCAGCAGGCCGCGUGAUGGAGCGACACAUAAAUUCCUCCCCGAGAGUCACUUCAGAGACUCGGCGUGAUUUACAUGGGAUAGAAAAAGAAGCUCGGAGGAAACUCCACGUUUACGCGGCGCACUUUGGACUCGGUUGGAAUCAAAUUGAUGCUCCGCGUUCCAGAAAGGGAAGAAAGGCAGCGCUUUGAACAUCUGGCUGCAGAUGAGCGGUUUAGGGUCGCACAUGGAGAGAAAAUAAAAGAAGCAAUUCCUCGCGAGCGCGUCUGUCGCACUACACCUAAACGCCGCUGACAUUCAUGGAAGGUUGAGAUCUCCACAAGAAACUUUCCUCCGACCAUCCUUUAACUCCGGCUACAACAACAACGGACUCCCUCUCACCCAGCGGGUCACGCCGUCUCCCACAGAUGGAGGAGAAACGCUGAGACGAGCUGUAACAGCCGGGGGCCGCGAGCUUCACGUGGAGCGUUACCGAAAGCGGCAUCAUUACAGUCGCCCCCCCGCCGUUCCGCAGACACACCCUGCGUCUCGCGUACCUGCUGAUGAACAAAGUUGCGAGGCUGAAUCAUCGUUUAAUGCAGGGCGGGAAGCGACGGCACCUUCACCGCAGCGCUGCACACAAGUUGGUGGAGUCUACGUUGAGGGGCAAGGGCACGAGGAUCCACUGAAAUACAACAGACCUGAGCAGCAUCAAAGCGCCGCAUCUCCAAACACACUGAAAGGACACUUGAAGGGUCCAUUUGAAGUGACGCGUGUUUGAUGUGACUCCAGUUGGUUAGAAAUUAGCAAAAUGACCCAUUCUAAAUAUUUCCCAUGUUAUAUUUUAUUCAGAGCUCCAUGAGGAUCCCGCAACUCCAAAGUGAUAUUAGUAAAGGGACCUUGAUUCUCUGCCGUCUCUUGGUCCCACAUUGAAGAGACUUUCAUGUGAACAUCAUUAUUUAUUCAUGUGCCUGCAAGACUGGGGUUUUGGCUUUAAUACAUUUUUAGAUUGAGACGUCUUGGCCAGGAAGACCUGGAGUGAUUAAUGAUUGAGGAGAGGCGAGAGCAUCAGCAGCGUCCACUGCAGGAAAAAGAAGUUCAAAAUGUGAUCCACAGGAAGAGGAAACGACUGGUGUAGAAUCUAAAUUAUCCCGAUAUUGUUGACAGACAGUAUAAUGAAGGUCGGGGUGCGAUCAGCGGCAUCUCUCAAGCCACUGUCUGGAGUGGAGCGUAUCCGGCAAUGUAGCAGGAUCAAAUGCAGUUACGCACGGCUUCGAGCUCAUCCCGUCUGUGUGAUGGCUGCUUUAGUCCGGCCUCAAAGGCUCACAAGCCGCCGAGCCGCCUUAAACGCGGGGAGAGAGUCGGGCGUCAGAGGCGAGGCCAAGGGGAACAAAAGGUAUUAACAUGCACACGAACCGCGAGGAGCGGGAGCCUACGCAGAUUAUUCUGAGAGAACAAACACUACAGGCUCCACGGCCUCUCUUUUUUUGUUGUUUUGCUUUGAGAUCUGGUGUUUUAUGUCCUGCAUUAAAACCACACUCUCACACUCACACACACACACACACACACACACACACACACACACACACACACACACACACACACACACACCUGCCUCGUCACUCGCGCUGCCCCGACACUUUGUAGACAAAAGACAAUACAAGACCUUUUGAAGGUUGUCGAAACAGGUGAGAGCUGUCGGGGCCUCGAUCGUGCGGUGGUCUUGUUUUGGUGUGCGAACGACGUCUGGCCUUUUAUCUCCGGUGAUGUGAUCCCUUCAUCCUGCUCAGCCCCCAUGCCGCCAAACGCUCCACCUGCGCUUUGUUGUCCUCGCCUCCGUCCGUCUGUCCGCGUCAGCCGAGCCGCUGUCGGAGGAAGAAUUUGAGAUUUCACGACAUUUACUGUAGCAGAACACCUGAGGAGGCAAAUCGGCGCAAACUGCCAAGACCUCCGGCCGUCGAGCAACAAGCGGAGACUCGCAGACGUCUCGCUGUUUUUUUUAUUGUCACACAUCUCGUUGUUUUGAAAGUUCGGAAGUGUCAGAGAGAUAGAGUUGCACUAAUGUACAUGUCCAAGCUGAAGAUUAUCUGUUCUCAUCUGAGACAAGAGCCGAUACUCUUUCAGCGCCGGUGUCAGACAUCUGUUGAAACUUGACUUUGCGCCCGUCAGUCAGAAACGCACUUCAACUCCUGAGCGGAGGCUGAGCUUCGCAUGGCUGCAGUGCAGGAUUCCUCAGCCCCCCCCACCCCCUCCCCUCUUUCUCCACACGUAGCUUUUGGUCCCGUUCUCAGGACCUCGAGGUUUAAAGAGUCAUCAAGUUGUCAUGUUAGGUCUGGUCUUGAACUCUUUUGUCUUGGCCUGACUUUCUUUAAAUGUUUUGAUAGCUGUGAUCAUCCCAUUGUUCCAGUCAUGCUGCUGAUGCUGGUUUCAGCGUAAUGCAAGACGGAAUUUACCUCAGUGGUUGUGCAUUUGCAAAAAGUUCCCCAAACCUAGAAAAUUAGGUUAUGUGACAAUCUUACGUGAGAAAGCUGAAAAACUUCAUCAUGUCGUUCAUAAAAACAGUACAGUAUUAUUACUACCACCUACAGUACUAUGCCUAUAUCUUUUAAGCUCUUCUUAUCUUAACUGGGUAAUAAAAAAGAAUUGAUAUUUAAAACUGUUUUGUUU
rnacentral:lncRNA from 1 species